UCGUGUACGAAAUUCGUAACCAUGUUUCCCCCAAAACAAAAAAAAAAAAAAACGAACCAAAAAACCCCACACGAGUUAGUCAAACGUCAGCGUUGAGGUAAGUUAGCUUCCUCGGAUUAGAAGUAGCUGUCUAAUUACGGUCUAGUCAGAAUUUCGCCUCGAGCACAGGGAUAUUUUUUGAACACGAGCAAACAAAAGCCUACACAAAACACUAGCCUUGCAGCACUUUAGAUAAACCCAGCUUCAAGUAUUAGCUCACUUUCCUAAGCCAGCUGACUGAGAACAAGUUUGUCAAACGGUUUUAGCGAUGUACAUGACGUCAUAUUCAUCUGAUCGCCUCGGGAACGUGGGAAUAGAUACUUGACCCCUCACACGUGGUAAAGGCUACUGAGUUUGGAGUUUCACUUGGCUUUACUGAACAGGGAGAGAAAAAGAGCAUUCUGAAAGUGAAAUGCCAUCCAACGGCUUUGCUGCGUGCUACGAUAACGAAGCCGUGUUACAGAGGAAAUGAUCAUUGAAGGACAGGGUUCGAACUCCAGGCACGAAAAAAGUUCAGCGUCAGAAGCUGAGACAGGAUACAGUCGAAGCAGAGCAGUCGAGUGUUGCCCAUGAGAUCAGGUGAUGGUUGCUUGCUUUCUGGCAGCCUGGUCCAUGUCAGGAAAGGGACGUCUUCCCAGUCAUCAUUAAGAUGCUUAAAACUCAAGAGCUUGUUGGAAUACACCGGUCACUACAUUAUGGCCAGGGAGAAUGUUAUAAAAGGCAGUUCUUGUUGUUUGCAGUGUAUCAGGGUGAGCGUGGGCUAUAAGCUCAACGUCAGAAGAUUUGAUGGAUUUCUCUUCCUCACAGCCGAGGCAGAGUGCAGUCGAAGCAGAGCAGUCAAAGGUUAAGGACGUGGCCCGUUAGAUCAGCAGCGGCAGCCUGGGACAUGUCAGGAAGGAGAAAGCUUCUCAGACAGGAUGAUGUUUAAAAUGAUGUCUUUAUUAACUUCCAUGUGUCAUCACAUCUCCAAAGAUAGAGAAAAGCCAAGUAUGCAAGUCGUGUGCGAGACGUCUGACUUAAUACGGAUAGCGAAAGGAUGUAUAUUUAGGGAUCAGAUCAAGGCGGACCAGAUCCGAUCAUAAAUAGAUAAAUUGUAACGUCAUGCUUUUAUUUUCGGAGCCAAUUUAAAACAGUCUAGACAGUGCCCUGUAAUAGAUUAACCACAGAGUUACCACAGACCGUCAGCAGACUGGUGGAUCAAUAGUCCAGCUUCAAAUCAGACAGAAAGAACACACAUAAUCAACUAGGGCUGUGUAAUAUAACAAUAUCAUACCUCGAGGCUUGAAGAUGUUUCUGUUUGUAUGGCUAUAUACAGUACACUGUUGGUUCGCUGACAAAUAACUAACGUCCUUUAGUGGGUUUUUUUGCAUAUACAAUAUUUACAAAAAUUAAUUAUUUAUGACUGAAAAGUGUGAAAAGAAACAAAACCUUAGUGAAGUUAAAACGUUACCCUAAAGUACGGACAAUGCCUGCAAAACCUCAGAUUAACAAUCAUUAUCAUAACCACAUUAACAAAAGAAGUAAAAUAAACAGCUAUGGGAGUUAUAAACAAGAUCACUUCACCCCUAGCUCUCUAAGGCUGACUAGAGAGCCACUCCCUGCUUUUCUGAAACAGGACACCCACAGUCAGAAAUCACAAACACUAACUUAGUUUUCACCUAAAAAAAACUCAUUAACUGCCUAUUGUGUUUGUACCAGGCAUGUAACAAUGGCACCAUGCCACCAGUAACUACUUUGGUUUCAUUCUUUUUCAGUGAGGCAUUUCACUACAGAUGACUUGGUAAAUACCUUUUGAUUCAUUUACUGUAGUAUUAGGUGUGAUGCUAAAAGUUUACAAAUCUUUUUGUUUAUACAACAUGUAACAUCUGUGAAACAAGUCAGUUCUUGUUAUCACUUGUGUUAUAGCAGCUGUAAACGUUGUGCUCUCAUGAACUUAAGACAUAAAAGCACAGCUUGUCCUGGUAACAGGAAGGGUGCAGAAUUACCCAAAUCAAAGGCAUUCUUGUGCCAGAACAUGUAAGAGGAACAGUUUUACAUAUUGGUUUUAUAAAGGACUGACACAGACUAGACUGUCUACAUUUUAGGAAAGGUGAGGGCAGAUCACCUAGGGCUAAACCCCAGUUGUUGUUUUUUUUCAAACUUUAUUACAGAUUUUUUUGGUCUUUGGUGUAUAUAUAACUUCACAGCAGCAUGUACUUGUUAGUUAAAUUGUUAAUGCCACUGUGUGUGGUGACACGUGUGAAAAUACAUAUGGGUGGGUAGAUGUGGCAAGUGUUGACUACACUGCAGCAUGGUAUAGUUUUUAUAUAAACUUUUAUCAAGGUUGCGAUAUAAAUUAGCACUGGAGAGGGUUAAUUCAGCUCCAAGGUAUGGAAUAGACAAGGCUAAUCGUUAACACUGAAUAGAGAUAAGGUGGCAUGCUAGUGGAACCCAAGGGUUUUCUACUGUCCAGUGUAGGAGUCUCUUCUUUAACCAGAGGGACAACUGAAGAAUGGUUGUAAAUUUAUUGAGAAAAUUUUUGUAAAGAUAUUUGUAUGUUUCCAUCUAUUCAAAACCAACUUGACUUAAGAAUCAUGGUAUAAAAAAAUCCUAUGAAGAAAAAACAGGUUUCUGGCACAGUUUCUUCUCAUGCAUACCUGCAGUGUGAGUCUGGCAUCCACAGCUGUGCAGAUCACGCUAAGGAUGAACUUUUCCCUCACAUGCUAAUCAGAUGUAAAUCAGUGGCCAGCCUCACCAAGCCGAUCCAGACUCCUUAUCAGUAUGCGCUAGGGCUCCUGAAAGACCUUCGCUUAAUAUCGCUUUAAUUGUCUUCUGUCUAAUCGGCGCAGCGUCGAUGUUCACCACGUGUCUUCCACCGCGGACAUGUAUUGUCUCGAAAGAUGUCUAGAGACGUGCUGUCAAAGUUGCCUGUCAUCUCCCCAAUAUGUGUAUAUGCCAGUAUUUUCCUCCCAGGAAAAUUGCUACAAUUGAAAAAGGUUCAUUCAUUGUUCUGGAUAUUGUUCCUAGUUGUACUGCUUUUGUCUUUUUCACUUUAAGUAAUUAGACAUUUAAUUCAUUUCGAUUAAGGAAUUAAAGAAGGAAAAGACAGUUGAUUUCAUUCAUUCGGAAGACAGAGUAUAAAACAUGAGCAUUAAUCUGCAUCAUUGCGUAUGUAACAUUUACUCGAAAUCGCUCAUGCAGUACAGCUAGGGUUGUUUUUUUUUUGUUUUGUUUUUUUGUUUUUUUACAGCUAGAGAUUCCAACAUCAUGCAAUCGAUACUAUGUCUAUGUUGGUCUGUUUUGGUUUUGCUGAAUCCUUGCCGAUUACCCAAUCAUAGAACUUGGAUAACAGUUUCUCUCUGUAGCCUGGUAAACCUACCUGGUUUGUUGUUCGGAUCUUCCAACGUUUCCCUUCAUAUUGAUCUGUAAGCAAAUUGUCUGAAAGGAGUAAAAACACCAAGAUGUUUAUUUUUAUGCGUACUAAUGUGUAUCUAGGGCAGUGAAAGUGGGGUCUUUGAAGCAUAAUGAUUUUCAAAAUACAUACAUUUUCAUUUUGGUGGAAAUCACAACCCUCCAUUAUCAAAGCUAUUAUAUUUAUUAUGUACUUAGAUUUAUUAGCCAGUUUGAGUGCUCAGUAAAAAUGAAAUGCCUUCAAAUCCAAGCCUCAGUAAAGCAAAACCAAACAGGUCUGUAAACAAAUGCCUUGAAGAUAAAUAACCGGAAUGCUACUGUACACAGUCAAGUAAUGAGUGCAAUAUUUGAAUAGCUAGAUUAUGUUUAUAAUAUAAGGCUGAACUGAGGGCAUAUGUGGAAUUUAUUUUGCUGUAAAAGUAGUCCCAGGCGGUGAAAAGUUUAAGAUCCUGUGAGUUAGGAACUAAAACUGAGAAUGAAAGCAGACAUUCCCUCCCUCGCUUCUCAUUUUGAUCAAACAGAAAUCCUUUUCAGCUGACUUGGCUAAUCUAUAUCAAAUAGGUUUUGGGAGCCAGUUCCAGAGCUCUAAGCUUGAGUAUGUCAUGUAUCACCAGUCAAGCUCAAAAGCCAGCAGUAUGAAAGUGCAGGUAAGAGUUCUUCAGGGUUACUGUCACACCUACAGGCAUCCUGAAUCCUAAUGCCCGCAUUAAGUCUGGCCGCGGCGGUAAUCAUAUUAGUGCAUGCCGUCCCAUCUGGUGUCCUGCCAUCCUUCCUGCCUCGCUGUAGUAAGGUCCCAUUCCUGGAGUGGCUGCAGACAAGAUUGAGAACGAUCUCAGCAACCGCAGUAGCCCUGCUUUACAGUUCGGUGAUAAUUCACCCAUGCAGAGCCAAAAAUAAUCGCGCUGAUCAGUGGCUGGAUAGAAACAAACGGCCACCAUGGGAGUCAGGCUGCCAUUCAUGGUUUUCCCCAUGAGCGUCGCUGACCUUUUAAUGGUAAUUGUUGCAUGAAAAGGAAAUCAAUGUCAGAAUCAUUUUAGGCACAAACGCUCAGAGGGGCUUUUGAUUACUGUAAAUCGAUGAACGCCAGCUGACGCAUCGGAAGAGACACCCGUCACAUUUUAGCCUUUAAAUACAAGCAUCCAGAUUAAAAAUCCAAAUGAAAGUAAAUAUGCACUCAGCCAAAGUGACACUGUUGGGUUGGAACAAUCCAUUAGCUAUGUGCACUCUUUCCAGCCCCUACUUAGCAGUAGUUUAGAUUGAACAGAUGCCCCUUAGAUUAGACUUUUUUUUUUCCCACCUGCUAAAGCUUUAGGGAGCGAAGGAAAAAGCUGCAGGCAUCUACAGCAUGCGUUUGAGUGUUCUAUUCAAAUACACAACCAGGUUUUCUAUUCCUUCAUACAUCGUUUCCUUUUCCCUUAAUUAUGUAGAUGUUAAGCUAAAGACAAAAACCUUGCUUCUCUGCUGAUCGUCAGUGCAUUUGAUAUUUACAUCAGAUAUAGUAGAAUGUAGUUUUUUAUUUUAUUUGUUUGUAUUUGUUAUGCUUAUUUCUUGUAAGUGUCUUUCUUUUGGUUCAUUUUUAGAGGAGUUAGUUAAGGUUUGUAAAAAAAUAAAAUAAAAUUAAAAAAUUCAGUGGGUGGAGCUGAGUAAGAUUUGAAUUUUCCACGUUUUCACCCAUGUAUGCAAAGCUAUACCAUUAGUAAGGACAGUCACGUCAUCAAGCAAAGUUACAACUCUAAAAACACACAAAGACAAUAACCAAAUAACUAUUGGUUAGGAUGUCAUGGUACAUUGGGGCGUGUCUAUAAAAUGAUUGACGAAAGGUAUACAAACAUACAUCCCAGCGCAGAGGGACUGACGUGUUCUGAAAUAAUGGCUUAAACUAUAAUUUAGUUUUAUCAUGUCUACAUAAAAUUCUGCGUUAUUUGUUCUAGUAGGAAAUGACAUUUUGACUGUUGCACCUUAAAAUUCUU